rnacentral:rRNA from 1 species
GACGAACGCUGGUGGCGUGCUUAACACAUGCAAGUCGAACGGUAAGGCCCUUCGGGGUACACGAGUGGCGAACGGGUGAGUAACACGUGGGUGAUCUGCCCUGCACUUCGGGAUAAGCCUGGGAAACUGGGACUAAUACCGGAUAGGACCACUGCCUGCAUGGGUGGUGGUGGAAAGCUUUUGCGGUGUGGGAUGGGCCCGCGGCCUAUCAGCUUGUUGGUGGGGUGAUGGCCUACCAAGGCGACGACGGGUAGCCGGCCUGAGAGGGUGACCGGCCACACUGGGACUGAGAUACGGCCCAGACUCCUACGGGAGGCAGCAGUGGGGAAUAUUGCACAAUGGGCGCAAGCCUGAUGCAGCGACGCCGCGUGAGGGAUGACGGCCUUCGGGUUGUAAACCUCUUUCAGCACCGACGAAGCGCAAGUGACGGUAGGUGCAGAAGAAGGACCGGCCAACUACGUGCCAGCCGCCGCGGUAA